CAGAUACUCCCUCCGUUCCAAAUUACUUGUCUUAGAUUUAUCUAGAUGUGCACUAAAAUGAGUCUAGAUACAUCCAUAUCUAGACAAAUCCAAGACAAGUAAUUCGGAACGGAGGGAGUACCAG
rfam:Triticum urartu cultivar G1812 contig614245, whole genome shotgun sequence.